GAUGAAGAACGUAGCAAAAUGCGAUAAGUAAUGUGAAUUGCAGAAUUCAGUGAAUCAUCGAAUCUUUGAACGCACAUUGCGCCAGCCAGUAGUCUGGCGGGCAUGCCUGUUCGAGCGUCAUUUCAACCCUCAAGCUCAGCUUGGUGUUGGGACUCGCGGUAACCCGCGUUCCCCAAAUCGAUUGGCGGUCACGUCGAGCUUCCAUAGCGUAGUAAUCAUACACCUCGCUACUGGUAAUCGUCGCGGCCACGCCGUAAAACCCCAACUUCUGAAUGUUGACCUCGGAUCAGGUAGGAAUACCCGCUGAACUUAAGCAUAUCAAUAAGCGGAGGA
rnacentral:misc_RNA from 1 species